UACGAAGGGGGCUAGCGUUGUUCGGAAUUACUGGGCGUAAAGCGCACGUAGGCGGACAUUUAAGUCAGGGGUGAAAUCCCGGGGCUCGAACCCCGGAACUGCCUUUGAUACUGGGUGUCUUGAGUGUGGUAGAGGUGAGUUGGAAUUGCGAGUGUAAGAGGUGAAAUUCGUAGAUAGUUCGCAGGAACACCAGUGGCGAAGGCGGCUCACUGGACCACACUGACGCUGAGGUGCGAA
rnacentral:rRNA from 1 species